UCCCAUAACAAGCAGCGUCCCUUUUCCC
rnacentral:sRNA from 1 species